UACGUAUGGGGCAAGCGUUAUCCGGAUUCAUUGGGCGUAAAGCGCGCGUAGGCGGAUUGUUAAGCGCGAUGUGAAAACUGGGGGCUCAACCCGCAGCCUGCAUCGCGAACUGGCAGUCUUGAGUCUGGUAGAGGAGUGUGGAAUUCCCAGUGUAGCGGUGAAAUGCGCAGAUAUUGGGAGGAACACCAGUGGCGAAGGCGGCACUCUGGGCCACGACUGACGCUGAGGCGCGAAAGCUAGGGGAGCGAACAGG
rnacentral:rRNA from 1 species